UACGUAGGGUGCGAGCGUUGUCCGGAAUUACUGGGCGUAAAGAGCUCGUAGGUGGUUGUCGCGUUGUUCGUGAAAUUCCCUGGCUUAACUGGGGGCGUGCGGGCGAUACGGGCAGACUGGAGUACUGCAGGGGAGACUGGAAUUCCUGGUGUAGCGGUGGAAUGCGCAGAUAUCAGGAGGAACACCGGUGGCGAAGGCGGAUCUCUGGGCCAUUACUGACGCUGAGGAGCGAAAGCGUGGGGAGCGAACAGG
rnacentral:rRNA from 1 species